rnacentral:rRNA from 1 species
CUGUCUCAGUUCGGAUUGGAGUCUGCAACCCCGACUCCAUGAAGCUGGAUUCGCUAGUAAUCGCGCAUCAGCCACGGCGCGGUGAAUACGUUCCCGGGCCUUGUACACACCGCCCGUCAAGCCAUGGAAGCCGGGAGUGCCUGAAGUGCGUGAGCGCAAGCAGCGCCCUAAGGUAAAACCGGUGACUGGGGCUAAGUCGUAACAAGGUAAC